GGCUACAACACGGGACCCGGG
rnacentral:miRNA from 1 species